rnacentral:rRNA from 1 species
CCCUUAGAUGUUCUGGGCCGCACGCGUGCUACACUGAGUGGAUCAGCGGGUCAGGUUGCGCGAAAGCGUUUCCUAAUCUUGAAAUCCGCUCGUGAUGGGGAUUGACGGUUGCAAUUUUCCGUCAUGAACGAGGAAUACCUUGUAAGCGCGGGUCAUCAUCCCGCGCUGAAUACGUCCCUGCCCUUUGUACACACCGCCCGUCGCUCCUACCGAUUGAGUGGUCCGGUGAGGCUUUGGGAUCUGAGCGGAAAGAGCGUUUCGCUGUUUCUGCUCGGAAAACUCAGUCGAACCUUAUCAUUUAGAGGAAGGAGGAGUCGUAACA